AUUAUUACAUUGUAAUAUUUAAUGAAAUAAUUACACAACUCAUCACAGGUUGGGGACCCCUGUCUUAGGGAGUUGUUGGAAGGAUUCAAUGAGCUGCUGACACGUGGCAGCACCCAGUGAGCUCUGUCUGCUGCUACCAAGGCUCACGCAGGGCCGGCACAUGGGAAGGCCCCAGGCCUGGCCGGGGAGGGCAGGGGUGGUCAGGGAAUAGGAGAAGGGGGUUGAGGGAACUGGUGGAGGGGUCAGCCCUUCCAGGCCAACAGAGAAGCUUGUGCCAGGGCCAGGAGGCAGAGGUGGGCACAAAUGGUGGGCCGGCGAGGGGCAGAGCAGGAGAGAAGAGAGGCUGGGUGCAGCGUGACAGCCUCCCCUGCUCUAGCCCUGCAGCUGGGGAGCAGUGGGAAGAGCUUCCACAGGGUGGAAGAGGCGCUGAGCUGGCCGGACGCCCGGCGCUACUGCCGGCUGCGCUACACGGACCUGGCCGACCUGCAGCCCGGCGGCCUGGCGCAGCUCUACGCCCUGUCGAGCAGCGCGGACGUCUGGAUUGGCCUCUUCUUUGACGCCAGCAUUUCCGGCCUGCGAUGGUCCAGCGGCUCUGCCUUCACCUCCCUGACGUGGAGCCAGAGACUGCCCGACUUCGGGGUGGGCUUCUGCGCCACUCUGUCCACUUCACUGAAAAUUGUCCCCAGGCUGGGGGCCUCCUCCUGCACAGCUCAGAAGCCCUUCGUGUGCUACUACGACCCUGCCGUCGGGCACCUCGUCUCCACGGAGCCCUCUCUCAGCCUGACCACCUCUCCAAAGCCAGGUACACACCUGCCCCACCUGCCCUUUCUAGGAGUGUGGCUUGUUUUGCAUUGGACUCAUCCACCCGGACCAGCCAACAGGAUUCUUACCCCUGGGUCCCUUCUGCUCCCCCACCCCUACCUGGCUGCCCAGGGACCCCAUGGAGAAGACCAGGCCUUUGUCCCUCUGAUGGGCCUAGAGGCUUGGCUGCCUUGCUCAAGGUCUCUAACCCCAGAGUGGAGCCAGGAGAGGACCGGCUGGGCUGCAGCCCUGCUGUCCGCCUCGGGCAGGGCUGUGCGGUACCUCUUCACACCCCGGGUACCUGCCCACCCAUCUGGACGGAAGCAUUUUCCUCUGACAUUUUCCCCUCUGGAUAUUACUGCCCUGGUAUUUUUUUUUUUUUUUUAAGUUUCUUCCUAUGUGGUUUGAGAAUUCUGUGACAAAGGAAGUAGACUCAAUCGCUCUGCUUUGUAGAGUUGGUUUUCUGCGUGGCGUGGAGCAGGGAGUUGUAGGGUGAGAACGGCGUAGCUUUGCUAGGCAGAUGAACCUAUGUUUUUAUCUCAUCUUGCUGCUUAAUGUGGCUUGAGUCUGGGCAAGUUGUCACCUCCUGAGGCCCCCUUUCCUCAUCUGUUAAUAAUAUGUACUUCUCAAGAGUACAGUGAGGAUUUGAAACGAUGACAUAGGCCACAUGCAUAGCUCAAAGAGUGACUUUAAAAAAAUCAGUUUAGAUAGGGAAAAUGUAAGGUAAACAAAUGUGUGAGGCAAAUCUCGAUGAGCUUAGGUGAGCAGGUGUGCACCAGAGAGUUUGGGAGGCCUAUUUGAGUCUGAGGACAUGAUUCCCGGCUCUGCAAACAGGGCUGUUUCCUUUAUCCGGGCCUCCGGAAUCAGUGCUUCAGGUCGAGCCCCAGCUGCUCACAUCGUUUCCAAACAUCCGCUGUUUGGAAGCACAGAUGCACAGGCUUAUGUGCUGCCGAUGAGACAGGCCUGGCAGGGGCAGGGUAGGCGCGGCCUGUUCUACCUGGCCCAGUCCAGCCUCGGUCAGGGGCUGAGUGGGGGCUGUGGGAGGUGGGUGUCUUCGUGUCUGCGCGGGACCUGCGCUGCCUCCUGUCUCCCUGGCUCUCCUGGCGCGGUAGCCUAGGAAUGUCCGCCACACACUUCCUCUGUUCUGCUCAGCUCUGGAGCCCGCAAAAGCCAGCACGGCAGGUACAGUCCCUGGAAAUCACACGUGAGGGUGACUCCAAACCCAGAUGGUUCUGUGCCCUUCAGAGCCUCCCCUCAAGUGCAACCACCAUUUUAUUAAGUGCUUUCUACUUGCACACACUGUGCUAAACCAUUUAUAUUCAUAGUUUCAUGUACUCUUGCCUUUAGGUACUGUUACUGUCUCCAUUGUAUAGAUGAAGACAUUAAGAUUGACUGCAGGAAGACUCUCAACCCCUGCUUUCCCUAAUGCUUCCCUGCACUGUCCUGUGAUAUCUCAUCCAUUCUCCCAACCUGGUAUUUAGUCUGCCUAUAACAUUGUGGUUUUGAUCAAACUUAACACUCAAGGAUGGGACAAAGGCCUGGGUUAGACCAGAACUCUGUCCCCAGGGAUGAUGGGGGCCGGGCUGGCAGAGACCUCAGGCCUGUGAUGUCCAUGUUCUUUGACCUCAGCUGUGGUCCAGAUCGGUGGACGGACCUUCACGCGAUUUGACCAGCUGUGACCAGUGUAGAGAGUGGCACUGAUAUAAAAGAUACAGCUACUACCACUGAGGCCCAACAUUUGAGCUCAGAGUCUAAAAAGAAAACAGCACCAAAAUCAGGUAACUGAUUCUGUUUACCAAGUUCCCACUCUUCCAGUGGAGGAGUUAAAUCUCCACAGUCACUUAGCACAGAGCACUUGAGACGUUUCUAUGAAAGACAGCGUGAAAUGUUGGGGACAGGGAUAGGAAUGAAGAUAGAGAUUCUAGUUUAAUCUCCAUGACUAUUAUGAAGGUUCUAGGGGCAAGUUUCUGAAUCUCUAUUUCUCAUCUGCAAAAGGGGCACAGUAAAAACGGUCCUGCCUGCAUUAUGGGGUGGUUGUGAGCACCCAGUAAUUAUACAGAGACACUCUGUAAACUAUAAAAUGCUAUCAAAUGUAAAGUAGUCCUAUUAUGAGGUUGGAGAUCCUGUAAUGACUAUGAGUGGCUCAAGGCUGAAGGAAGAACUUAUUUAUAGGUUCAGAGAACUUCUUCAGAGUUUUCUGGGAGUAGAGAGCUUAACGAGAGGUAUUUCCAGCAUGCUGUGGAGCACCUACUUACUAGAUUAAAAGGACAAAAAUACAGGAGAAACAGAAAAUAAUUGCCUGAGGAGUGGCCAGGCUGUGGAAGAAGAACCAGCAUUAUCCUCAAGUGUAGAAUUUUCUCUUUUUCAGCCACUAAUUGGUUGGUCCUAAUUGUGGCUGAGUGUUCUCCUGUUCAGCAGUUUCUUUUUCUUUCCUUUUGAAAUUCUAUUAAUAAAUCACCACGUUGCAUCUUUGGUGUCCAGUGGGUACUUCUGACUGCUAUGAAUGUGAAGUUUUCAGAUGGCAGUGGGAUAAUUUCCCCCUGAACCAAGUAGCACUUUCUUUUUCAGGGCACCCUUUUGGAAUUCUGAAAGCAGAUUUUACUAUCCCAACUCUGAUGGCCCCAGAAGAGAUGAAAGACCAAUUUUUGAGAGAGG